UAGACUUUGCACAUGCUUGAUGCUGAAUGCACUACUUUUAUCUUUUGAUGGAUUGCUGCUGAAGACAUCAGAUCUUUUGAUUUCCUUUCAAGUUAUGUCUUUGUGUCCAUCCUGCUUCCAAAUUACAUUGGCUGCACAGGAAGCAUGAUGCUGGCACCUGCUCAGCUCCUGGGGAGGCCGAAAAAAACUUACAAUCACUGUGGAAGGUAAAUGGGAGCAGGCACGUCACAUGGCCAGAGCAGGAGCAAGAGGUACCACAUACUUUUAAAGGACCAGAUCUCAGGACGACUCACUAAGGCAACUCACUAAGGCAAGGACAGCACCAAAGAGAUUGUAUUAAACCCUUCAUGAGAAAUCUGCCCCCAUGAUCCAAUCACCUCCCACCAGGCCCCACCUCCAACAGUGAGGAUUACAUUCCAACA
rnacentral:lncRNA from 10 species